rnacentral:tRNA from 1 species
GUCCCAUAGCUCAGUGGUUAGAGUGUCCAACCGGUGUUCUGGAAGGUCAUGGGUUCGACUCCCGUUGGGGGCU